rnacentral:lncRNA from 1 species
GCCAGAGACUUUCAGAGUCAUCAUCCUAUGAGAUUACAUAGGAUGUUCUCUCCUCCUACAAAGAGUGAUCGAUUUCUUAUUGACCAUACACAACCUUCAUGCACACUUCGCCAUACCCAGAAUAUCUCACAUACAUCUCAAAGUGGUGUGCUGGGGAAUAAAUCAAAGUAAGGAUCCAUGUACACAAGGUACCAUAGUGAUCUCAGGUCAAAGGAUUACAUGCACCACUUCCACUGAAGAACCAUCUAUUGACAUGCUGUAAGGCUCCAUCAGAUAUUUUUUUGGUGGGUCAGUUCAGUGAACUCAUUCUCUAAUGAGUA